rnacentral:rRNA from 1 species
GGUUGAUCCUGCCAGUAGUCAUACGCUCGUCUCAAAGAUUAAGCCAUGCAUGUCUAAGUAUAAGCAAAUUAUACAGUGAAACUGCGAAUGGCUCAUUAUAUCAGUUAUAGUCUACUUGAUUGUACCUUACUACUUGGAUAACCGUAGUAAUUCUAGAGCUAAUACAUGCGUUAAAUUCCUAACUGCUUUUGCGGACGGGAAGCAUUUAUUAGAUGAAAACCAAUGCAGUUUACUGCUUUUGUGUUGAAUCAUGAUAACUGUGCGGAUCGAACAAAUCGAUGAAUCAAUUGAG